rnacentral:rRNA from 1 species
UACGUAGGGGGCAAGCGUUGUCCGGAAUGACUGGGCGUAAAGCGCGCGCAGGCGGUCUUUUAAGUCUGAGGUGAAAGGCUGGGGCCCAACCCUGGCAUCGCCUUGGAAACGGGAAGACUUGAGGACUGGAGAGGCAAGGGGAAUUCCACGUGUAGCGGUGAAAUGCGUAGAGAUGUGGAGGAAUACCAGUGGCGAAGGCGCCUUGCUGGACAGUGCCUGACGCUGAGGCGCGAAGGCGUGGGGAGCAAACAGGAUUAGAUACCCUGGUAGUCCACGCGGUAAACGAUGAGUGCUAGGUGUCGGAGGGUACCACCUCCGGUGCCGAAGGAAACCCAAUAAGCACUCCGCCUGGGGAGUACGGUCGCAAGACUGAAACUCAAAGGAAUUGACGGGGGCCCGCACAAGCAGUGGAGCAUGUGGUUUAAUUCGAAGCAACGCGAAGAACCUUACCAGGACUUGACAUCCCCCUGACGGGAGUAGAGAUAUUCCGUCCCUUCGGGGCAGGGGAGACAGGUGGUGCAUGGUUGUCGUCAGCUCGUGUCGUGAGAUGUUGGGUUAAGUCCCGCAACGAGCGCAACCCUUGAUCAGUGUUACCAGCACGUAAAGGUGGGGACUCACUGAUGACUGCCGGUGAUAAACCGGAGGAAGGCGGGGAUGACGUCAAAUCAUCAUGCCCCUUAUGUCCUGGGCCACACACGUGCUACAAUGGGCGGUACAACGGGAAGCAAGAGAGCGAUCUGGAGCGAAACCCUAAAAGCCGUUCGUAGUUCGGAUUGCAGGCUGCAACCCGCCUGCAUGAAGCCGGAAUUGCUAGUGAUCGCGGAUCAGCAUGCCGCGGUGAAUCCGUUCCCGGGCCU